GAUGAAGAACGCAGCGAAAUGCGAUAAGUAAUGUGAAUUGCAGAAUUCAGUGAAUCAUCGAAUCUUUGAACGCACAUUGCGCCCGCCAGUAUUCUGGCGGGCAUGCCUGUUCGAGCGUCAUUUCAACCAUCAAGCCCCAGGCUUGUGUUGGGUACCUGCGGCUGCCGCAGGCCCUGAAAACCAGUGGCGGGCUCGCUGUCACACCGGGCGUAGUAGAUUUUAUCUCGCUCAGGGCGUGCUGCGGGUUCCGGCCGUUAAAAAGCCUUUUUUACCCAAGGUUGACCUCGGAUCAGGUAGGAAGACCCGCUGAACUUAAGCAUAUCAAUAAGCGGAGGA
rnacentral:misc_RNA from 1 species